CUGGUUGAUCCUGCCAGUAGUCAUAUGUUUUGUUCAACAAUUUAGCCGUGCAUGUUUCUGUAUAAAUUCUAAUACUUUAAAGCUGCGAAGGCUCAUUACAUCAGUUACAAUCGAUACCUUGAUUAUUAUGCGGAUAGCCAGGGUAAUUCUUUUGCUAAAACGUACCUGAAAUCCUCUGGAUGUCAUUGCUAGCUUGAGAUCAACUCAGAAGUUCGUUUUUGACCCUGGUGUUUCAUAGCAAUUAGAAUUUAUCGUUGUCCGCGAAGCAGGAUUCGAGUUUCUGACUUCACAUGUUUGACGGUUGUGUAUUGGACCACCGUUCACUUGACGGGUAACAGAGAAUUACACUCUGAUUCUGGAGAGGGCCCUGAGAACGGCAACCACAGUUAAGGAAGGCAGCAAGCACGCAAAGUGCCCAAUCCUGACACAGAGAGGUAGUGACAAGAAGUAACAAUGUGGAGCAAUUUUUGUUCUGGAUUUGGGAUGAGUCGUAGUUAAAUAUCACGACGAUUAUCGAUUGGAGGGCAAGUCUGG
rnacentral:rRNA from 1 species